rnacentral:rRNA from 1 species
UACGUAGGGUGCAGGCGUUAAUCGGAAUUACUGGGCGUAAAGGGCGCGUAGGCGGCCUACUAAGUCAGACGUGAAAUCCCUCAGCUUAACUGGGGAACUGCGUCUGAUACUGGAUGGCUUGGAUCCGGAAGAGGGAUGCGGAAUUCCAGGUGUAGCGGUGAAAUGCGUAGAUAUCUGGAGGAACACCGGUGGCGAAGGCGGCAUCCUGGACCGGUAUUGACGCUGAUGCGCGAAAGCCAGGGGAGCAAACGGG